UACGUAGGGGGGCAAGCGUUGUCCGGAUUUAUUGGGCGUAAAGGGCUCGUAGGCGGCCAACUAAGUCAGACGUGAAAUCCCUCAGCUUAACUGGGGAACUGCGUCUGAUACUGGAUGGCUUGGAUUUGGGAGAGGGAUGCGGAAUUCCAGGUGUAGCGGUGAAAUGCGUAGAUAUCUGGAGGAACACCGGUGGCGAAGGCGGCAUCCUGGACCAAUAUUGACGCUGAGGAGCGAAAGCCAGGGGAGCAAACGGG
rnacentral:rRNA from 1 species